GUCCCUGUAGCAAAAUAGAUAACGCGUUGGAUUAUUAAUCCAGUGGUCGUGGGUUCGACUCCCUCUAGGGAUG